UAGACUCCCUUCCUUCUUCAGGGAUCUUCGACUAAGUAGAAGAGGAGAAAGCAGAGCAUGCUGGGAAAAACACGGGUUAGAAUCAGAAAAUGGCGAUCGUUUUGUAAGACUCUCAUUGGCUAGUGUUUCCGUUGGCCAUUUGUGUUAGUUGCUUUUCUUGGUGCUAUAACAAAAUGCCAGACAAAAUGGAAUUUAAGGAAAGAAGGGUUUAUUGUGGCUCACAGGUUUGAGGACCAAGAACACAGUGGCAGACUUCAAAAUACUCUGGGGACCUGAGAGCAGGGAGAAUUCCUGCACCUUUCUGGAGAGGAGGAAAACGAAAGAGAUUCAGACAGAUACAACAGCACAUAUCAGGGGAAGGGGUUCAGAUGGAGAGUCUGACUUACCAUCACAGAGGAUUGGAACAGACAACGCCACGUCACAGAGGGACUGUUCACACAGUCCCUGAGGUGGAAGACUCUUUAACCAAGUGUCACAGGGUACAAGCAAGCCUCCUAGGAGCAAGCCGCUGGAUCCAUCAUGUGAAUGGUCCCAGGACAGACAGAGCUUCUAUCCUAAGGACCAAGCUGACUUUCUAUAGCAAGAUGUCAUCAGCGUCUUUUUGAAGGUCUAUUCUAUCGAUUCAUGUCUUCAGGCCUAGAUCCUGCAUUGAUAUAUGGAGAGAUGAAGUUGAUCCGAAUGUUGUCAGAGCAGGAGUUAAUGAAAUACUGCUCACACAGCACUUUCCAGAGGGCACUACACGCAGGUUUUCAUUGAUGCUUACCUAGAUUUCAUAAAUGAUUUAGUGCACAUAGAUAUGAGUGCACAUGGCCAUCUGUGACCCAAACAGUGAAAAUCUGGCUGGGAAAUUGUGAGGGACAUUCUGUGAACUUCAACUGAUGAGGGGAUGAUGCCGUGGUGUAGUCACAGGGAGGGUGUUUAUAGUCACUCACGUAACUAGACCGCCCUGUGCUUUGUGGGUUACAGAUUGUGGCUAGAGUUGACUGAAAAGCACCUGACACGAUUGUGAGUUCUGCAGAGGUAUAAUGUGAAGUUGACUUCGAUGACAUGUUUCCAAUACUGUUCCUAAUGAGAUGGCAAUGUGGAAUGUGAUCCAGGAGGCUCACACCUUUCCCUCAUAGCAAGGACUCUCCCAAGGACUUCACAUGUCCUCAUUGACAUGGACUGGCCAUUUCCUCACAAAACUGUGGCCUAGAUACAAGGCGGUAUAUUAGUACCAGGGCAUCCUGCAGCUCAAGUCUUCUUAGAUCACAGGUUUCUUUUUUGUUUAAGUUGCAAGAAAAUUGCUUAUGCCUGUAAAAUUGCUCUUUACAUAUGAGAAUAAAUGACCCACAUAAGUAACAUUUUGUGCUUAGAUAAGGGAGACUGUAGGCACAUUUCUUUGGGUAGGUUUGGCCUGGAAAGUAUACUUUAUAAUAACAAGGACCUGAGACUGAAAAUGUGAUUUUAUGACUCUUUUCAAUAUAUGUCAUCAAAAUGUAGGAAGGUUAUUUGUAGUGUAUUUUAGAAUGGUAAUUAUAAUAAAUAAGCAUAUUAGCACACUCUCUCAUAUAUUUUUUACUUAACACUGCUUGUGUUCCUGAGCUUUCUAUCCUGCAGAAAUAGAAGGAAAUCUUUAAUCGAUUUCCACUGGGCUUUCUCUCCAGUCACUUCACCCACCUAGCAAGAGACUCACUUUGAUGUUUUGUCCUUUAUCAGACCCUAGUUCAAAGAAAGUAAACAUUAGGAAAUUUUAAAUGUAAUACUGUUCCUACCCUGCUCCUAUCCUGGAAGGCUCGUAGACUUUUAAAAGAAAGGCAGGCUCUGUUGCCCAGAACUUUGUAUUGUAAAAGGACCAAUUUUACAGUAGUACCAUAUUGAAUAGCAGGCAAUAAGUCGAAUUGAAUUAGAAUCUUUAUUUGUUGGAAAAGGAACAGUCAGUGACUUGUUUCACCAGAUGCGCUGCAAUUUACUCUGUGUCUAUUGAGAUUCAAUGUAUAGACCCAGACCAAUUACUAAGAUUAUUCCGUCA
rnacentral:sRNA from 1 species